rnacentral:lncRNA from 1 species
UCUCUCUUUCCUGUAAUCUGCUGGUGGGGGAAGGAUUGCGUGCGAUAUAUCUCCUUGCGGUCAAAAGAUUCUCCCUGGUUUGUUUGUUUAUUUUAUAAAGAUUCUUAGUAGCUUUAUCUACGACAAAACAGUCUUUUCUUUCCUUCACAAGAACCAAAUUGUUGUUCGGUCAUAUUCUCUAUGUUUACGUUCUAUGAUGAACUCAUGUUGAGCUUUUUUCUUUCUCUUUUGUCUAUGGCACACGCAUAUUAUUAGAUACCAUGC